GGUGUAUUUCACUUCAAUUUGAUGUCCCUCCCUCCACAACCCAAGACCAUGAACAAAUGGAUUGUCACUAGAUUGGUGGACCCUCCAGAGCUAGAGUACAUAGAGUAUGUAGCGGACUCUGUCACUCAGCUACCCAAGGAAAACCAAAGCUCUGGCAACACACCAGUUCAAGGAGAGAAGAGGGAUGAAAAGCCAGCCAUAGGAAUCACCAUGAAAUUGCCGGGUCACGUGCUGUUUUCUGAGGAGCCCCUGAUAGCCCGCUGGGACUACAAGAAGAAGUACUGGAGACAGGACGGCUUUACGGACAUGAGCUAUGAUGAGGACAACAGGAUUUUCUCCUUUAAGACAGCCUAUUUUGGAACGUUUGCCCUUCUUCAGGACUCUCACCUAAACAUGCCCUUCCAGUCAUGGGAGCUGAGGCCCCACAGAACCAACGCCUGUGUCCUGACCAUCAUAGCAGCCAUCGUUGAAGUGGAGAUUGAAAUCAAGGAUGCCAUGUGCUGUCUAAGUAAGCCUGAUGACAGACCCGAGUUAGAUGGAAUCCGAAAUAAAUGGGUCACACCUAAAGAACUUAUAAAGAUCAUGAAGGAGGCGGGCAUCAACUUGUUCCCUGCAGAAGACUCCUCCAAAUAUGUCAGCAUUCAGAACAAGAACUCCAUAGUGACAAACUGGAUGUAUGAGCAGAUGGCUCUCCUGUCAUCAGCCAUGGCUUUCUCCUGGUCCAAGUGGAACAGCGAGAUGGAGACCAGCGACAAGGUCCUGUUCCAGGGCUCCGAGGCUCUGGAGGAUGAACCGCUGCUGGAGGAGGACUGGGGUAUAUAUCUGGCCACAAAGAAGAGGACCAUGAAGUUGAAGUGUACCGAGUUUGAUGAAGAGUUCUCUGAAGACUAUGCUGAGGGAACCACGUUCCGCUCCAACCUUUACCAUGUGGUUUUGAACCAGUGUUCAGAAGAAGCGAAGGAGAGAAUCAACAACUCCAGUUACCAAUAUGUUGACUGUGUGGAGCAGAUAUUGAAAGCCACAAAAAUCCUCACAUAUUCCUAAUUUAAACCUUGAGAAAUAGAUUCUUAGCAGAUGGACAAGGAUUGACUGAACUAAUACAGGAUCUAUAUGCCUUCUAUCCCUGUGGGAAUUAUUGAGUUGAACCCUUAUUAUGUCUGUUUUAUCAAUAUGUAAUUGAAGGGAUAUUAUUUUUGGAAACUUGUGUCUUAAAAAGUUAACCAUGAUUUACAGAAAGUUAUUUAUUUGUAUUGUUACUGUGAUCAUUUGUUUUAAAAGAUGUUCAACUCUUUCAGUAAGGAAAGGACUUCAGAGACAUGCCUUCAUUUACUCAUUAUAACAAACUGUCAUUUCACCAUGUGACUUCAUUUGUUGUUGCAAUUUUUUUUUAAAUUGUAUGUAAAGUGCAUUUAUAAUGGUUGAUUAAAUGCCUUACCACUAUACCAC
rnacentral:misc_RNA from 1 species